rnacentral:rRNA from 1 species
AAAGGAAGCGAUUCCGGCAACGGAUGGGCAUGCGUGACAUUAGCUAGUUGGCGGGGCAACGGCCCACCAAGGCGACGAUGUCUAGGGGUUCUGAGAGGAAGGUCCCCCACACUGGUACUGAGACACGGACCAGACUCCUACGGGAGGCAGCAGUGAGGAAUAUUGGUCAAUGGGCGCGAGCCUGAACCAGCCAAGUCGCGUGAGAGAUGACGGCCCUACGGGUUGUAAACCUCUUUUGUCGGGGAGCAAAUUCCGCCACGCGUGGCGGAGUCGAGAGUACCCGAAGAAAAAGCAUCGGCUAACUCCGUGCCAGCAGCCGCGGUAAUACGGAGGAUGCGAGCGUUAUCCGGAUUUAUUGGGUUUAAAGGGUGCGUAGGCGGACUGUCAAGUCAGCGGUAAAAUACGGGGGCUCAACCUCCGCCCGCCGUUGAAACUGACGGUCUUGAGUGGGCGAGAAGUAUGCGGAAUGCGUGGUGUAGCGGUGAAAUGCAUAGAUAUCACGCAGAACUCCGAUUGCGAAGGCAGCAUACCGGCGCCCAACUGACGCUGAAGCACGAAAGCGUGGGUAUCGAACAGGAUUAGAUACCCUGGUAGUCCACGCAGUAAACGAUGAAUACUAGCUGUCCGGGGCGAAUGAGCUCUGG